rnacentral:rRNA from 1 species
AUGGCUCAGGAUGAACGCUAGCGACAGGCUUAACACAUGCAAGUCGAGGGGCAGCAUAAAAGUAGCAAUACUUGGUGGCGACCGGCGCACGGGUGAGUAACGCGUAUGCAACCUACCUAUCAGAGGGGAAUAACCCGGCGAAAGUCGGACUAAUACCGCAUAAAACAGGGACACCGCAUGGUGAUAUUUGUUAAAGAAAUUCGCUGAUAGAUGGGCAUGCGUUCCAUUAGGUAGUUGGUGAGGUAACGGCUCACCAAGCCGACGAUGGAUAGGGGAACUGAGAGGUUGGUCCCCCACACUGGUACUGAGACACGGACCAGACUCCUACGGGAGGCAGCAGUGAGGAAUAUUGGUCAAUGGGCGAGAGCCUGAACCAGCCAAGUCGCGUGAAGGAAAAGAAGGAUCUAUGGUUCGUAAACUUCUUUUGCAGGGGAAUAAAGUGCAGGACGUGUCCUGUUUUGUAUGUACCCUGAGAAUAAGGAUCGGCUAACUCCGUGCCAGCAGCUGC